CCUACGGGAGGCUGCAGUGGGGAAUAUUGGACAAUGGGCGAAAGCCUGAUCCAGCCAUGCCGCGUGUGUGAAGAAGGCCUUCGGGUUGUAAAGCACUUUCAGUGGGGAAGAAAGCCUUGGGGCUAAUACCCUCGAGGAAGGACAUCACCCACAGAAGAAGCACCGGCUAACUCCGUGCCAGCAGCCGCGGUAAUACGGAGGGUGCGGGCGUUAAUCGGAAUUACUGGGCGUAAAGCGCGCGUAGGCGGUCUGAUAAGCCGGUUGUGAAAGCCCCGGGCUCAACCUGGGAACGGCAUCCGGAACUGUCAGGCUAGAGUGCAGGAGAGGAAGGUAGAAUUCCCGGUGUAGCGGUGAAAUGCGUAGAGAUCGGGAGGAAUACCAGUGGCGAAGGCGGCCUUCUGGACUGACACUGACGCUGAGGUGCGAAAGCGUGGGUAGCAAACAGGAUUAGAUACCCUUGUAGUC
rnacentral:rRNA from 1 species